rfam:Helianthus annuus linkage group 10, whole genome shotgun sequence.
GUGAUCCAAAUUUGCCGUUAAAAAAAAAAUUGAAACGAUACAUAGAAGAUUAGCAUGGCUCCUAAGCAAGGAUGACGUGCAUAAAUCGAGAAACAAUAAAAGAUAAG